rnacentral:rRNA from 1 species
AGUGAACGCUGGCGGUAGGCCUAACACAUGCAAGUCGAACGGCAGCACAGUAAGAGCUUGCUCUUACGGGUGGCGAGUGGCGGACGGGUGAGGAAUACAUCGGAAUCUACUUUUUCGGGGGGGAUAACGUAGGGAAACUUACGCUAAUACCGCAUACGACCUACGGGUGAAAGCAGGGGAUCUUCGGACCUUGCGCGAUUGAAUGAGCCGAUGUCGGAUUAGCUAGUUGGCGGGGUAAAGGCACACCGAGGCGACGAUCCGUAGCUGGUCUGAGAGGAUGAUCAGCCACACUGGAACUGAGACACGGUCCAGACUCCUACGGGAGGCAGCAGUGGGGAAUAUUGGACAAUGGGCGCAAGCCUGAUCCAGCCAUACCGCGUGGGUGAAGAAGGCCUUCGGGUUGUAAAGCCCUUUUGUUGGGAAAGAAAAGCAGCAGGUUAAUCCCCCGCUGUUCUGACGGUACCCAAAGAAUAAGCACCGGCUAACUUCGUG